rnacentral:sRNA from 1 species
GUUUGUCUGUUUGUCUGUUUGUCUGUUUGUCUGUUU